CACCGCCCGUCACAUCACGAAAGUGGGUUGUACUAGAAGUUCUCAGGCUAACCCCACAAGGGAGGCAGAGGCCCAAGGUAUGACUCAUGAUUGGGGUG
rnacentral:rRNA from 1 species